GAAACACGGACCAAGGAGUUCAACUGGAUUGCGAGUCGUAGAGUUUAUCACAAAACUCAUCUUAUAUAUUUAAUACGGCAUAGCGAAAGNGAAAUCGUGUGAUGUACUAUUUAACACUAGUACUGCAACACAGGCUGAUCAUGGAUAUACGUUGUGUCUUAGAUAGAGCGUAUACGUAAAUUUAUUACUCUGUUAAUUUAUUUACGAUUGGUUAAGCUAAAGAGCACUUUAGUUGAGACCCGAAAGAUGGUGAACUAUGCUCGGACAUGGUGAAGCCAGGUGAAAACUUGGUGGAAGCUUGCGUUGUGCGGAACUGACGUGCAAAUCGUUGCCGCCUGACCUGAGUAUAGGGGCGAAAGACUCAUCGAACCAUCUAGUAGCUGGUUCCCUCCGAAGUUUCCCUUAGGAUAGCUCGAAUUUAUAUCAUGAGUAACACAAGGGUAAAGCAAUGAGACGCGGUAUCUGUGGGUCUUAUUUAAAUGACCUCGGCCUUCUCUCAAACUUUAAAUCUGUGCGAGUACGCAUGCUUUCUUAGAAUAUAUAAGAAAUUUCGAUUUCUUAUGUAGUGAAGCUGCGCUCUAUUUAUAUUGUAUCAAAAAUUCGUAGUGGGCCAUUUCUGGUAAGCAGAACUGGCGAUGAGGGAUUCAACCUGACGUUCUCAAGAUAAGCCGGGCUUAAUCAUAUCUGCUCCAACCUUCCGAUAAACGCGA
rnacentral:rRNA from 1 species